UAGGGCGUGUUUGAAAAGGGUUUUAAAGGUAGUUUGGGUAGCUAACUGGGCCUAAUUCAAUGUUUGAUAUCAAUUUAACAUAAUACGCAAAGCCCGCACAAAAGCAAGGGCCCGGUCCAAUUUCUCUGUUGAGUGGCUGAUCUGGAUGAGGGGGUAGGGGCCAUUUACCGAUGCUGUACUUCUACAGUAACAACGCUUAAAUUAUUUCUUCACAAAAUUGCCCCCAUUUACCCCAAUUGAAAAUAUUCAAAUUGUCCGCGCAGCUUCUAUUGUUUGUCAUAAAUUUGGGUUGAAGAGGGAGAACACAUAUCGCAGCAAAAAUCGGAGCUUCGGCACGGUAAUCGUCGUCCACCACCAACUGAGCAACCGCGUUGUUUAAAUCGGGCUUGAGGAAUUGUUGAGUAGCUCGACUGGUGAGAGACUUGCAUUCAGCGCUGGCCAUAGUCCUCAGUGAGGUAUUUUUUAUUUCGGCCUCAAAUUUGCCGGCGAUUUAACUAUAUACAAUAUAGUUAUAGCUGCUUUAAUGUCAUUUUGGUUAAAGAUCUGAAUUUGUUGAGAUGUGUGAGCAUCUGGUGUGUAGUGAACGAUCUGUUGCAGCUGGUUUUAUUUGUAUUUUUGUGAUGUGUGGUGUGUAUAUAUGCGUGCAUCUUUUGUCUUGU